GACGAACGCUGGCGGCGUGCCUAAUACAUGCAAGUAGAACGCUGAAGGAGGAGCUUGCUUCUCCGGAUGAGUUGCGAACGGGUGAGUAACGCGUAGGUAACCUGCCUGGUAGCGGGGGAUAACUAUUGGAAACGAUAGCUAAUACCGCAUAACAGUAGAUGUUGCAUGACAUUUGCCUAAAAGGUGCAAUUGCAUCACUACCAGAUGGACCUGCGUUGUAUUAGCUAGUUGGUGAGGUAACGGCUCACCAAGGCGACGAUACAUAGCCGACCUGAGAGGGUGAUCGGCCACACUGGGACUGAGACACGGCCCAGACUCCUACGGGAGGCAGCAGUAGGGAAUCUUCGGCAAUGGACGGAAGUCUGACUGAGCAACGCCGCGUGAGUGAAGAAGGGUGUCGGAUCGUAAAGCUCUGUUGUAAGAGAAGAACGAGUGUGAGAGUGGAAAGUUCACACUGUGACGGUAUCUUACCAGAAAGGGACGGCUAACUACGUG
rnacentral:rRNA from 1 species